rnacentral:rRNA from 1 species
UAAUAGGAAAUUAAGAGUAUAUGGUGGAUGCCUAGACUAAAAAAGGCGAUGAAAGACGCGGCAUGGCGGCGAUACGUUUCGGGGAGGUGCCUAGCAACCUUUGAUCCGGAAAUCUCUGAAUGGGGGAACCCCCUUCGAUAAACUCGAAGGAGCUUCAUUCAUUAGAAAUGAAGCGGCAUACCCAGGGAAGUAAAACAUUUCAGUACCUGGAGGAAAAUAGAACAAUAGUUAUUUCCUGAGUAGCGGCGAGCGAAAAGGAAAAAGCCCAAACCGUAUUUCGCAAGAAAUGCGGGGUUGUAAGGUGACAACGUAGAUUUAUCUAGAGAAGUCAAAAAAUGUAAUCUUAGAUUAAACUUCUGGAAAGGAGUGCCAUAGACGGUGAUAGCCCGGUGAUCGAAAAUUUUACAUCUUCUUGGUUGUCAUUCUUGAGUAGCUCAGGACACGAAUAGCUUGAGCGAAUCCGCCGGAACUAACCGGCAAGGCUAAAUACUUUUUUAGAUCGAUAGUGAACUAGUACCGUGAGGGAAAGGUGAAAAGAACCCCGAUAAGGGGAGUGAAAUAGACCUGAAACCAUAUACUUACAAGGAGUCAGAGCGGGCAUUUAUGUCCGUCAUGGCGUGCCUAUUGAAGAAUGAGCCAACGAGUUUAUCUAUGCUGCAGGCUAAGCUGUUAGAACAGUGGAGCCUUAGGGAAACCGAGUGUUAAUAGCGCGAACAAUUAUGUAGUCUAGAUAAGACCCGAAGCCAGGUGAGCUUGCCAUGGGCAGGAUGAACCCUGUCGAAAGAUGGGGGGAGGUCCGAACCGGUGACCCGUGCAAUAGUCUCGGAUGACCUGUGGUAAGGAGUGAAAAGCUAAUCGAACCUGGUAAUAGCUGGUUCUCUCCGAAAUAGCUUUAGGGCUAGCGUCGUGUGUUCCUCUUGGGGGUAGAGCACUGGAAGGUUUCGACAGGGAGCAAUCUCGCGACACCUAUCAAACUCCGAAUACCAAGAGCUCAUAACACGGCAGUUAGGCUAUGGGGGCGAAGCUCCAUCAGCCAAAAGGGAAACAGCCCAGAUCUCUAAUUAAGGUCCCUAAAUCUGCGUUAAGUGCAAAACAAGGAGGUGAAAUUUCUCUGACAAUGAGGAUGUUGGCUUAGAAGCAGCCAUCAUUUAAAGAAAGCGUAACAGCUCACUCAUCAAGAGAUCUCGCACCGAAAAUAAUCGGGGCUAAAUGCAGUACCGAAAUUGAGGGCUUUCUGCUAAUUUAUUAGCGGGGAGCGGUAGGAGAGUAUUCCAAUCAGCGUCGAAGCCAAAGGGGUGACCCAUGGUGGAGCGUUUGGAAGUAAGAAUGUUGGCACAAGUAACCGCAAGGAAGGUGAGAUCCCUUCCCGCCGAAAGAUCAAGGUUUCCUGGGCAAUGGUGAUCAUCCCAGGGUUAGUCGGUCCUAAGGAAAUGGCGAAAGCCGAAUUCGAUGGGCACAGGGUUAAUAUUCCCUGACUUCUGUUAUAUUCGAAGAUGGGACGGAGUGUAGUAUAUAGAGCUCAUUAUUGGAUUUGAGUUUGUGAGUGAGGGUGCUCUCUAGGAAAAUCCGGAGAGUAGCGUAAAAGCAACAUCCAAGCAAAGCAUAAAUGUUCGGGUUCGCCCGAGUAAAUUCUAUAAAGCACGCUUCCAAGAAAAGCAUCUAAGGUUAAUAUAAUAGAAUCCGUACCGCAAACCGACACAGGUGAUCAGGUCGAGUAGACCAAGGCGAACGAGUGAGAGGUCUUCAAGGAACUCGGCAAAAAAGCAGCCGUAACUUUGGAAUAAGGCUUGCCGUUCUUAAUUUAUUAAGAUCGGCCGCAGCGAAAGUAUCUCUGGCAACUGUUUAUCAAAAACACAGCUCCCUGCGAACUCGCAAGAGGAUGUAUAGGGGGUGACGCCUGACCAAUGCCAGAAGGUCAAAUAUCGGUGGUACUACAUCACACAGUGUGUGAUGUAAGUUAAAAGUUCAUAAAGUUAUAAAGUCAUAAAGUGGGUGCAGAAUAAUGCAUUUUACUUUAUACACUUUUUACUUUCAACUUUAUAACUUGCACAUCGCGCUUUGCGUGAUGUAGUGCUGGCUGAUAUAAGCCCUGGUGAAUGUCGGCCGUAACUAUAACGGUCCUAAGGUUUUGUACUGGAUAUUUAUAUCAAGUACAAAGCGGACUAGGACGGUUAUAGAAAACGAUAAACAAUUUAUAAAAAUUUCAUGAACCAUUUCAGCUACCUAGUACGAUAGUAAUGUUGUAUUAGUCCAAACUUGAUGAACGAGAGACCAACGUCAAGCAU